AUGCAGUCGAGCGGAUGACGGGAGCUUGCUCCUUGAUUCAGCGGCGGACGGGUGAGUAAUGCCUAGGAAUCUGCCUGGUAGUGGGGGACAACGUUUCGAAAGGAACGCUAAUACCGCAUACGUCCUACGGGAGAAAGCAGGGGACCUUCGGGCCUUGCGCUAUCAGAUGAGCCUAGGUCGGAUUAGCUAGUUGGUGGGGUAAUGGCUCACCAAGGCGACGAUCCGUAACUGGUCUGAGAGGAUGAUCAGUCACACUGGAACUGAGACACGGUCCAGACUCCUACGGGAGGCAGCAGUGGGGAAUAUUGGACAAUGGGCGAAAGCCUGAUCCAGCCAUGCCGCGUGUGUGAAGAAGGUCUUCGGAUUGUAAAGCACUUUAAGUUGGGAGGAAGGGCAGUAAGUUAAUACCUUGCUGUUUUGACGUUACCGACAGAAUAAGCACCGGCUAACUCUGUGCCAGCAGCCGCGGUAAUACAGAGGGUGCAAGCGUUAAUCGGAAUUACUGGGCGUAAAGCGCGCGUAGGUGGUUCGUUAAGUUGGAUGUGAAAGCCCCGGGCUCAACCUGGGAACUGCAUCCAAAACUGGCGAGCUAGAGUACGGUAGAGGGUGGUGGAAUUUCCUGUGUAGCGGUGAAAUGCGUAGAUAUAGGAAGGAACACCAGUGGCGAAGCGACCACCUGGACUGAUACUGACACUGAGGUGCGAAAGCGUAGCAAACAGGAUUAGAUACCCUGGUAGUCCACGCCGUAAACGAUGUCAACUAGCCUUGGAAUCCUUGAGAUUUUAGUGGCGCAGCUAACGCAUUAAGUUGACCGCCUGGGGAGUACGGCCGCAGGUUAAAACUCAAUGAAUUGACGGGGCCCCACAGCGGGGACAUGGUUUAAUUCGAAGCAACGCAAAUAGCUUUGCAAAACUUUCAAGAUGCCUACUCUGACCUGCAGUCGCAGCUCGGCGAGGUCUACACUUCUGGGCGAGUGCAGGUCC
rnacentral:rRNA from 1 species